GGCUUAAUUCAAAUCAGAGCUAGACUGCAUCUUAACUCUGUGAAUGUUCUUCAACGUCUCUGAAUAACUGACCCUAUUUUCCCCUGAAACAGCAACAGCAUGCUUUGUGGCUGUAAUUGCAACCACAAGUUUUUGUUGAAAGUUACCGAUCGAUAAGAGUUACAAUUUCAGGUUAACGUAACUGAAAUUUCCAUUUAGGUCAACUCUGGCUGCACUUGAGGGGCUUGGUUUCUUGCUCCCCCAAACUCCAAGUGCUGUUGUGUAGGUUAUCACGAUGAGCUUUCAGUGGCUUGUUGCUAAGAAAACCAUACCCCAAACCAUCCCAGAACAUCUACAUACAGCCACAUUUUGGGAGUCAUGUAGCACAUGUCAAAUCUUUCAAACUAACCUUGGAUAGUUUCUCAUUUUAGGCAGUAGAAUUUCCUGAUGAAAAAUAAUGUUGAAUACUUUCACAGUCAUGUUAUUUAUUAAAUCCAUAUUAGAUGUGUCUGCCUACAGAAUAAAUUAAUUUCAGCUCUACAGCAUAACAAUGAACUAUUCUUUAAUAAAGGGGGGCGGGGAGGAGAAAAUGAGACUUUAAUAAAGGAAACCAGAUGCUGGCUUCAUAUAUUUCUGGGGAAAGAAAACCCACGUAAUUUCAAUGCUUUUCAUUGAGUCCCCUUGGUGAAAUUAUAUUAAGUGUUUUGAUCCAACGCAAUUCUUAAUGUAGUAACAUCUUUUGUCUGGAGAGGCUCCUUACUCUUUCCAGACCAAUAAACCGUACUGAGGCUGCUGCAUUAGGUUGGUUUUAGUGUUUCUGUCAGUAAGGUAAGUCCUGAUGCCUAUUGAUUUCUUUGUGUUUAUUUUUAAUACGUUCUGAGAAAUUCCGCUCAUUCUGUAUGGCUUCUAAUAGAAAAAAAAUAAUUAAAAAAAUCUUUAUUUUCAGAAAUAUUGAAGUGUAUUUUUAAAUAAACCUAUUUGACUUUUUAGGUUCUGGUGAAAUGGGAAGUCAGUCAAGCGAUUGGAAAAUUACUGUAAUAGUAGUAAGCUAUAGAGCUUUAAACACAUGUGAAAAGCAUGCUUUGAUUUAAGCCUAUCAGCAGAAACCUUGUAUGUGGACUUGUGAGGGCUCUGAUCCUGAAAAUGCAGAGUACUGUUGAAGGCAAAGUUAAGAACAUGCAGGUACGACCUCAGGAACAGGAUUUUAGCAGCUUGUCUGAUACUAUUGUCUAUUCGAUUCCCAUUCUUCAACCCUGAGUACAAACCUGUUUCCUCUAAACUGCAUGAAGUUACUAGUUGGCAGGGAAGUGUGUCAGAUUUUGCACAGCUUUUAUAAAGACCAACUUGAAAUAAAGGAGUCCUAAAGUGAGAAAAGGGAAAACUGAGAGAGGAAUCUACUCAGAAGAGCUCAGUGGAUGGAUUUAUAGAGCUCUGCUUCUUCCAGAUUUUCCAUUUGCCAUGUUAAUGGCAUGCAUCAUUGUUUUAGGUCUUCCAGGUCAAAUUCCUUGCUGGUGAAAAAUCUAGCUUUAGAGCAGCAGAGAAGUUUUGCCUGUUUUCAAUUGCACGUGUGAAGGCUUGGGAAUGCCAGGAGUGCAUUAGAAUGGCACGGAGGACCACAGAGUUGCUGUGCUUGCAAGUGGCCAGUCACAGUAGUGUGGUGGGUGAGUGGCUUCUGGGCCAGAGGAGGGCUUGCCUGACACUGAGAAGCUGCUAGAAGAAAGCAGGAAGAAAUCCAGUAUGUCCCUAGUGAAGCCUUGGAUAAAAUAGGUGAAAUUAUGUUUCUGAAGGCAAAUAGAGAGCAGUAGUGGGAUCUUUUAAAUGCAGUAAAAAAAAAGUUGUUGGGCAAAGAGGGACUUGCACUCUAUGAGAAUUGAGGGUUUGUAUUUUUUAAAAGGCAGGAAAGGAGGUUUCUAUUGCAGAUGCAGAGGAUUGUGGGAAAAAAAAAAAAAAGCUGGAAAGACUUAAUAUGUGUGUUAAUGACGUCCCUGAAGAGGAAGUCAGCAGUAAUCCCAUUCUCCUCGUUCACAAACUUCAGAGUCAGAGCUUCCUAGCAAGGAGGCUAAGAAUUUGGAAGGAAGACACUGACUUCUGGAGCAUGGAGUUUUGAUGGGAGUCUAAAGGAUUUAGGCUCUUUUGCUGUGAGCAGGUUGGUACUCUCAUAGCUUGAUAAACACUCCAUCUGGUUUUCAAGUGAGAUAACUGAAGGUAGCUAUUAAAAGAUCAGUUCAAAGUGUGCAAAGAGGAUAUUGUUGGAAGCUUGUCUGUGACCAACAAUGGAGUGCUGCCCAGAGAUAACAGAAAAGCUAAUUCGUCAGGCCUAAGUAGUUCUGAACAAUCAGCCCUCGUGCCCCAAACCAGGAUUCUCUAAUGAGUCUUUUCAGUGGAAAAUUUCUGCAUGACUUUGAUUUGUCUACUGAUUAUAUCAUAAAGUUUAACUGUAGUUAAACCGUAGUAGCUAAACAGUUAAACUGUAGUAGUUCAACAGUCCAGAGACUGAAUAGUUAGUGCUUUUGAAAGGCUUUUGUUUACUGCAGCAAAUGUUUAGAGAGCUCAAGGUGUUUGAUGGUUUGGAUGAAGUUUGCAAUAGUUACCUGAAUUUAUUUCCUCAAGCCAAAUGAUUGCUAGACUAGAACUGCCUUUUAAGCAAAAUGUUCCUAAAAUUGAAUAAAUCAUCUGUUUUCCUGACUUGUUAUGCUGUGGGUUUGGUAGACAGCCAGUCUUCAGAUACUUUGAGAUUUCUUUAGUAAGAUAUCUAU